rnacentral:misc_RNA from 1 species
AACGCACAUUGCGCCCCGGGCUUCGGCUCUGGGCAUGUCUGCCUCAGUGUCCCGCACAUCUGCACCCUCCUCCUCCCCCGCUCUCCUCGAGCGGAAGGCGGCGCGAGGGCGCGAUCUGGCCGUCUCGACCUCUCUCCUCGCGGGAGGGCGUCGCGUCGGCCGAAGCGGAGCGCGAUCCGGGCCGCGUCCUCCGCGGCCGCUCUCGGAGCUUUGACGGUGACUCUCGGGUCUUCGUUCUCUCAGCUCUCUUGGGCGGUCGCUCGGUGGCGCGCGGCUCGCGUUUGUCGCCAAUGCCAGGAAUUCACUUUCUCAUUGGACCUGAGCUCAGGCAAGACUACCCGCUGAACUUAA